UCAGACUUCCGCCGUUUUCAGUUUUCCGGGUGACCAAAUACGGUAGCAUUACGUCAUGCGAUGUCUGCGCACAGCGAGCAAAAGUAGUCCAUUUUACGUGCCGUAUUGAGUAAUCCGUCCGUGAUACUCUCCGGUUUUGUAGCUGUCAUGGCGUCGUCCGUGAGUACAUCAAGUGGAGAUCGCGUGGAUCGUCUCGGAGACUUUUGGGUAAAAACCAGGCAAAUAAUCCUAUAUUUAACCAGCGGUAUUUAUACUGAAGGAGCUUCAGAAAACCAGAAGAGGCUAGUACGUUGCCAAUCGAAACGGUACACGUAUGAUCAGACCAUUUGCAGAGCAGCUUCUAAAUGGCAUCCCUCCCUGUGUACUGCGCCACUGCCAUGUACGACAAUUUCGAGGUUAUGUUGGUGCACGAUUUGUGUCACUUAAAGGCACUGGACAGGUUGGGUAAUUGUCACUUGGUGUAUCCCAAGUGUUGCGGUGAUUAGGAAUGAUUUGGCCUGGGUUUAAUUCAAUUUCUCCUGAUAAGACAGUCAUACUCUUGAUGGUCACUGCAUAACCAAAAGAGC